rnacentral:rRNA from 1 species
UACGUAGGGUGCAAGCGUUGUCCGGAAUUAUUGGGCGUAAAGAGCUCGUAGGCGGCUUGUCGCGUCUGCUGUGAAAAUCCGGGGCUCAACCCCGGACUUGCAGUGGGUACGGGCAGACUAGAGUGUGGUAGGGGAGACUGGAAUUCCUGGUGUAGCGGUGGAAUGCGCAGAUAUCAGGAGGAACACCGAUGGCGAAGGCAGGUCUCUGGGCAGUAACUGACGCUGAGGAGCGAAAGCAUGGGUAGCGAACAGGAUUAGAUA